AUACCUUUCUCGGCCUUUUGGCUAAGAUCAAGUGUAGUAUCUGUUCUUAUCAGUUUAAUAUCUGAUACGUGGGCCAUUGGCUCACACGAUAUUAAAUUAAUUUUUCUAGGGGGAAAGCUUACCAUAGUUGCUUGCUACUAGGGCUUUCAUGCGUCGCCUAAGCGUUGCACUAUAGCUCAGUCCUGGCGCACCCCAC
rnacentral:snRNA from 1 species